UAAGAGAUUUGAAGGGAACUGCUCCUAGUACGAGAGGACCGGAGUGGACGAACCAAUGGUGUACCAGUUAUUCCGCCAGGAGUACAGCUGGGUAGCUACGUUCGGAAAGGAUAAACGCUGAAAGCAUCUAAGCGUGAAACCAGCCUUAAGAUGAGAUCUCUCAUAGCAUAAGCUAGUAAGUCCCCUUGUAGAUGACAAGGUUGAUAGGCCAGGUGUGUAAGUCCAGCAAUGGAUUCAGCUGACUGGUACUAAUAGGACGAGGGCUUGACUUA
rnacentral:ncRNA from 1 species